CUUGCUUAAUUGCGAUAACGAACGAGACCUUAUCCUGCUAAAUAAGACAGGCCAGCUUUGGCUGGUCGCCGGCUUCUUAGAGGGACUUUCGGCUCAAGCCGAAGGAAGUUUGAGGCAAUAACAGGUCUGUGAUGCCCUUAGAUGUUCUGGGCCGCACGCGCGCUACACUGACAAAGCCAACGAGUUAUUCACCUUGACCGAAAGGUUUGGGUAAUCUUAGAAACUUUGUCGUGCUGGGGAUAGAGCAUUGCAAUC
rnacentral:rRNA from 1 species